GUAGAUAACAACAUACAGGUUCGCAGAAUUCAAUACAUAUAUUAGAUUAUCAGUCUCAUAGUGAUGCCAGUAAGUAUGUAUGAAUAACAGUAAAAUUUUCCCUAUCCAUCCAUCCGGUACACUCCGCAGUAAAAUUUCUCAUAACUCCUCCAUCCAUACACACCAUAAUAGGUGUGGGUAAACCGCCAAUAGAUUACAGAUGAAAUGCCGGUAAAUUUAUGGAUAAACCACCAGUAUUAUUGCAGGUGAACCGCUAGAACUCCAUACUGGCAUUAAAUGCCUACAAAACUCCACGUUCACCCAACCCCAUGCAAUAGAUUGGCAUAUCAUGUGAAUGAUAGAAUUAGUAACAGUAUUAGCAUGCUCUUAAUCAUGUGAUCAUUUUCAAUUCAGUGUUCAAGCAACAUUAGUAAGCAUUUAUCCCUAUAAUUUUCAAAAUCAACACCAAAAUAUCAUCAAACACAUACUCAUCAAUAACAAAACAGAAAAAUGGCAGCAAAUUCAAUCAAACUUACGACACUCAAUUGAGUUUUCAACCAAAUAGAACUCACAGUUUUUCAGAAUCUUAACAGUGAAUGUACCCUUUUUAGAUCCGUUGCUACUUGUUGCAACUAAAACUGUUAGAAUAUUAUACUAACUCAAAUAGAUAAAUUCAACAUUUGUAACUCAAAAAUAGGUAGUUAUACACUUGGUCAAACCAUACACACACGAAAAAAAAACACGAUUUAGACAUACACAUGAAAACACAUAUUAUCAGAUUUGGCAUAAAAGUAUCAAAACGAUCCCAAAAGAAUCCGGUUAUGUAAAAUAGAAGAGAGCGAUCCAUAACUCUAUUGCGCAUUCAGAAAUGAAAUCUAACCAAUAAAAGAAAUCUCAGUUACCAACCUACCGCAAUUGGGAACUAAAUUAGAACUAAGUGAUCAAGAUGAUUCAGCCAAGAGAGUGAAAAGAUUGGCGACAACAAGGAUUUUAAACGAAUGUGGUAGGUAUGGUGUUCGAAAUAGAAAGAAAAGAAAAAUGAGAUGAGAAAAGAAGAGAGAAGAGGAUGACACAAGGAAGUAGAAGGGAAAAGAGAAGAGAAGAAAGGGAG
rnacentral:lncRNA from 1 species